CGGGAAACCGGAGCUAAUACGGAUAAUAUAUUGAACCGCAUGGUUCAAUGUGAAAGACGGUUUUGCUGUCACUUAUAGAUGGAUCCGCGCCGCAUUAGCUAGUUGGUAAGGUAACGGCUUACCAAGGCAACGAUGCGUAGCCGACCUGAGAGGGUGAUCGGCCACACUGGAACUGAGACACGGUCCAGACUCCUACGGGAGGCAGCAGCC
rnacentral:rRNA from 1 species